ensembl:lncRNA
GCCAAAACUGCAGUUUGCUUCCCAUCCAGACGCUGACGUAACAGCAAACUGCAACCAGGAGAAGUCUUUCUUUGGACAAAACAAAAACUUUUAGAGUUGCCUGUGAAAAGUCUUUAACCUUUAGUGUUUUUAGACUUUAAUAUUGUCUGCCAUGUCCUAGACUAACAUGUAAAAUGCUGUUUUUGCUUGUUCCCUUUAGAGUGCGUCAGUGUCCAUCAAACAUUUUGGGGAAGUGUUUUUUGGCAGAAAGAGGAACUUCAACAGUCUAUAGAGUCACAAAACAUUGUCAUCGAAAAAGAAUACAGACACUUUUAUCAAACUAUCCAAUCGCACCAUGGAAUCUCAACCGUUUUGGACCCUUUUCUUCAAGUUGACAUGGAUACCUGCAUUUUUCCUUCUCACUGUCUGUUCAGCAAUGGAUUCACCAAGUAUCAGUCUGGAGCGCGAAGUCUUUGUGGCCUUUAGAGGUGAAAAUCUCAACAUUACAUGCAAUUUGAUCAAAGCAGUAAACCAAACGGAAGAUGGCUGCUUGACAUGCUUUGAUCCAAAAAACAAAACAAUAUACAAUAAUACCAUCCCCACAAUGGAUACCGAACAGGAAAGAUUUUCCUGGCAUCUGGAGCUGAAAAACCUGAAGCUUUCAGGACUUUACUCCUGCCAGUAUCAAACGGUGAAGGUGGAUUGGUUUCUUCGAGUGACAGAUGAAGGCUACAAGGAACCUGUUAACACAGAGUUCAUCAUCAUGGCCAUUUUCACGGGUGUGCUGUUGAUCUUCAGUGUGCUCGGCUCGGUGUAUGUCUUCAGAGGACAUUGGACUGAGAAACAUGGAGCUGGCGAGAAAAAACUAAAGCAAAGCCAAGAAGAGAAGAAGGUGACAAAGAAGGAGGACGAUAGCUUGGAUGCAACAGCAGCUCAGUCCUACUAUGCCAGUCUAGAGCCUCGUCCCAGGUCUAUUUAUGAUGUACUGGACAGCUCACCUGCCAGAAGAGAGAAUGACCAAGACAAAGCCAAACCCAUGAAAAAGGAACCACCCAAAAAGGCAGCGCAAAAGACAAAAGACAAGGAUGAAGGUGUUUUUGAGUCUGUUUAUGAGAACUUUUAGAUCAACUCGUGAUUGUGGGAUCAUAAUCCAGCGCUUUUCUACUUUAAUCUCAUCUGUGUCAGCGACACUGAGAGAAUCAUCUUUCAAUAAAAUCAACAAAAACCACAAAUGCAAAGUAAAAGUAGUUUGGUACAACACAAAGAUUUCUAAAAGUGUGUAAAAAAUGUAAAUGAACAGAAGCAUUCCCAUCAGAAUGAGCACAGUGUAUCAAAAGUACUAAAGGUUUUCACUAAAUACUACGACUGUACUAUGUAAAAGUCUUUAGCUACACCUCAUUUCUUUAGAUUUUGUGCACCAAUUUAUUCAAACAGCCAAGGCAAAAAGAGAGUUUGAACAGUUCUAAUGAGCUUAAAAGUCAGUAUUCAGUAUGAGCACCUAUAUUUUCCACCAAAGCCUGAAAUUUCUUGCUCAACUUUCUUGUCAUUUCUUUAAGUAGUCUUUAGGAAUAGUUCUCCAGGCAUCUUGAUGGAUGUUCAAUGCUCUUCUUUGGAUGUUGACUGGGUUUGCUCUAUUAUCUGUUGAAAUGAUUCCACACCGCUUCAAUAAUGUUGGUGUGGGAAUAAAGUCUGGUCUCUGGGGAGAUCAAUUCCAUAACUGACAGUGUGUGUGCGUGUGUGUGUGUGUGUUGUUGUUGUUUUUUUUAAAUAUUAUUAUUGCUGGUUUUCCUUUAGUUCAGUUAGUUUGGGAUCACUUUCAUGCUCAAAAAUGGAGUAGCUAACAAUCAGAUGCCAAAUGGUUUUGCGUGAAAGAUCAAAAUCCUGUGUUUAUAGUUUCAUUCAUUUUUGACCCCCAGUUGAAUGGCAGCCCCAAACCAUGACAGAGCCUCUGCCGUGUUAUACACAUGGCUGCACAUACUCUCUGUUGUACUUCUCUCCUAAGCUCCUCCGUACUGAUGAUGAUUUAAACCAAAAAUUUCCAAUUUGGAUUCAUCACUCUAUAAGACCUGUGGCCACUGAUUUUCAGUCCAGUUCUUGUUUAAUUUUGCACACCAGAGCCUUUUCUCCCCUUUUCCAUUCAUUAACAAUGCUGUUUAACAGCCACCUUCCACUGAAACCAUUUCUGAUGAGGCUUCAGUGAACAGUACAUGGAUCAACUGAAGGGUCAGAUGUAUCUCCACUUUUUUUCCAAGUGGAGUCUAGUGUUUGAUGUCUUCUUCUCACCUUAGAAACUGUGGGUAACAGGUAGCUGAUUUUCAAUAAAUGUGUCUCUUGUCACCUGCUUCUGUCCGG